rnacentral:rRNA from 1 species
UCGGCAAUGGACGAAAGUCUGACCGAGCAACGCCGCGUGUGCGAUGAAGGCCUUCGGGUUGUAAAGCACUGUCGAGGGGAAACAAGCCGUAAGGUUGAGUGACCCCUGGAGGAAGCACGGGCUAAGUACGUGCCAGCAGCCGCGGUAACACGUACUGUGCGAACGUUAUUCGGAAUCACUGGGCUUAAAGGGUGCGUAGGCGGCGAUUCAAGUCAGGUGUGAAAUGCCUGAGCUCAACUGAGGCAUUGCGCUUGAAACUGAAUUGCUAGAGUAUCCUAGGGGUGUGCGGAACUGCCAGUGGAACGGUGAAAUGUGUUGAUAUUGGCAGGAACACCGGAGGCGAAAGCGGCACACUGGGGGAUAACUGACGCUGAGGCACGAAAGCCAAGGGAGCGAACGGGAUUAGAUACCCCGGUAGUCUUGGCCGUAAACGAUGAGCACUGGGCGGGAGGGGGUUUCCCUUUUCUGCCGUAGCGAAAGCGUUAAGUGCUCCGCCUGGGGAGUAUGGUCGCAAGGCUGAAACUCAAAGGA